GACGAACGCUGGCGGCGUGCUUAACACAUGCAAGUCGAACGGAAAGGCCCCUUUUGGGGUACUCGCGUGGCGGACGGGUGGGUAACACGUGAGUAACCUGCCCUUGACUGCGGGAUAACUUCAGGCAACUGGGGCGAAUACCGGAUAGGAAUCCUUGCUGCCUGGUGGGGGUGGGAAAGAUUGGGCGGUUUUGGAUGGACUCGCGGCUUAUCAGCUUGUUGGUGGGGUAGUGGCUUACCAAGGCUUUGACGGGUAGCCGGCCUGAGAGGGCGACCGGCCACAUUGGGACUGAGAUACGGCCCCGACUCCUACGGGAGGCAGCAGUGGGGAAUAUUGCACAAUGGGCGGAAGCCUGAUGCAGCAACGCCGCGUGCGGGAUGACGGCCUUCGGGUUGUAAACCGCUUUCAGCAGGGGCGAAGCUUGUGGUGACGGUACCUGCAGAAGAAGCACCGGCUAACUACGUG
rnacentral:rRNA from 1 species